rnacentral:rRNA from 1 species
UACAGAGGGUGCGAGCGUUGUUCGGAAUUAUUGGGCGUAAAGGGCGCGUAGGCGGUUUGACAAGUCUGAUGUGAAAUCUAUGGGCUCAACCCAUAGCCUGCAUUAGAAACUGUCGGGCUUGAGUAUGGGAGAGGUGAGUGGAAUUUCCGGUGUAGCGGUGAAAUGCGUAGAUAUCGGAAGGAACACCUGUGGCGAAAGCGGCUCACUGGACCAUAACUGACGCUGAGGCGCGAAAGCUAGGGGAGCAAACAGG